GACGAACGCUGGCGGCGUGCUUAACACAUGCAAGUCGAACGGUAAGGCCCGCUUGCGGGUACACGAGUGGCGAACGGGUGAGUAACACGUGAGCAACCUGCCCUUGACUCUGGAAUAACAGCUGGAAACAGCUGCUAAUACCGGAUACGACCUCCUGCGACAUCGCACAGAGGUGGAAAGCUCCGGCGGUCAAGGAUGGGCUCGCGGCCUAUCAGCUAGUUGGUGAGGUAACGGCCCACCAAGGCUUCGACGGGUAGCCGGCCUGAGAGGGUGACCGGCCACACUGGGACUGAGAUACGGCCCAGACUCCUACGGGAGGCAGCAGUGGGGAAUAUUGCACAAUGGGCGAAAGCCUGAUGCAGCAACGCCGCGUGCGGGAUGACGGCCUUCGGGUUGUAAACCGCUUUCAGCUUCGACGAAGCGCAAGUGACGGUAGGAGCAGAAGAAGGACCGGCCAACUACGUGCCAGCAGCCGCCGU
rnacentral:rRNA from 1 species